AAAAAAAGGGAUAUAAGGGGACGAAAUUAGGGGACCAAAAUAUUUUACUUGUCUUCAAAAAAUAGAAUUCAAUAAAAAUGGGGACCUUCAAAAAUUUUGUCCCCAAUUCUUCUAUUAUAACAUUAUUGGGGACGAUAUUUCAUAUUUAGUAUGGACUGAAAAUCUAAAUAGAAUAGGGGACAAAUUGCUAAAGCAUCGAAUAACCUAAAAAAGAAGCGGCAAUUUAAAAAAAUAAAAACAAAGUGGCGGUAUUAUUGUUAGUGUAAACAUCGUGCUUCUUUGGUGUAUACAAGUGAUAAUCUAGGGUAUACUCCCAUUGCCGAACACAAUUUUCAGAAUUUAUUCAUCAUAAUUCAAGGUAAGUUUGUUUUUACAAUUUCAUUAAUCAUGCUUCUAUAUAAAGAAUCUCUUUUUAAAACUCAAAAUCUCGAUUCUGUUUUGUAUAAGACAUAAUUAGAUUAGGGUUUCAUUUGGAGAAUUAGUUUUAUUUAGUGAGCACAAUCGGAUUCGGAAAAUCAAUGUUUUUGCCAGAAGAACAUUGUGGAUCAUUGUCUUUGUAAGUUUAUUUUUGCCUUAAUUGAUUUUUUCUGUCUUUUUCUUUUUGGAUUUUGGUUUCUUUAAUCACAAUUUGAUCAUGCUUGAAAUAAGUAUUUUUCUUUCCAUUAUUCUAAAUUUUCUUGGUCUGAAUUGGUUUGAUUUAUGUUGUGUGCUAUAUUAUAUGUCUAGUCAUUGUGUUUUGUGUUGAUUGCAUUUGAAACUCAGUUUGGGCUUAUUUAUUUGACAGGUUAAAUUAGUAGGUUAAUAAAUAAUUUUUUUAUAAUGCUUAUCAAAUUCUUGUGUAAAUAGAAAUCAAUUUCUGAUUGCUGUCUAAUCUGUUGCAGCAAUCAAAAACUGAUUUCUGCUGUAGAAUUAGAUUUCUGCAGCAGAAUUAGAACACUUACAAUAUGCGUCGAUCAUCUAAUGGUUGACUUGAUAGAUGCAAAUUGCUCAUAGUUUAAGUAGUGGAAUAUAUGCAAAUUUUUUUGUUCGAAUCUUGUUGUUGUAGAAAAUAUUGCUGCCAAUUGUCGUCUUCAUCCAUUAUAGCCUCAUCCAAUAUUAUCCAUCACCCAUUUGAAAGUUAUUUUAUUUUUUAAUUCAUGUAAUUACUUUUAUUUUGCUGCCAUUUGGGUAUUACAUCAUUGCUUUCGGUUCAUAGAAUUUCAAUUCACUUUUGAUGUCGUGUGUUGAGUCAACGUAUAGGCGGACAUUUAAACUGCAUUUCAGAAAUUUUAAGUCCUUGAUCUACAAGAGUGGACAAUGACUGAGAUCCUUGUUUAUUGAAGGUGGAAUUACUGCAUUUAAUCCAGCAAAAAAGAGCUGCAAGUAUCAGUUAUAAAAUUGCCCAUUAAGCAUGAUAAUUGUGCUUAAUGAAAUGGUACAUUCACUCCUCAUUCACUAUAUCAUAUGCAGCACAUCAAGGUCACUGUUAUUGAUGAUUACACCUAAAGUUCCUUGUAACUUUUGGCAUGAGAAUGUUUGAUAAUAUGUAAAUUGUAUUUGUUUAUUAAUUAAAUGUCUAAUAGGUAAUGUGCAGGUGGUUGUUACUGAUGAAACUCACACAACAAAGUACUCAAAAAGGAAGAGGGGACAAUGCGUGAUUAGGUGAAACGAUAUCAUUCAUUUCAUGAAGACUAUUGAUCAAGUUAAUAUUAUCUUAGUAUUUGUUUUGGAUAUUUUAUAGUAGAUUUACUUUUAAUAUGUAAUUUUUUCAUGUUAAGAUAUACCUUUUAAUGUCAUUUAAUUAUUGUUUGUUCAA